AUUGAACGCUGGCGGCAGGCCUAACACAUGCAAGUCGAACGAGUGGCGGACGGGUGAGUAAUGUCUGGGAAACUGCCUGAUGUAGGGGGCUAACUACUGGAAACCGUAGCUACUACCGCAUACCAUCAGAUGUGCCCCGAUGGGAUUAGCUAGUAGGUGGGGUAAUGGCUCACCUAGGCGACGAUCCCUAGCUGGUCUGAGAGGGUGACCAGCCACACUGGAACUGAGACACGGUCCAGACUCCUACGGGAGGCAGCAGUGGGGAAUAUUGCACAAUGGGCGAAAGCCUGAUGCAGCCAUGCCGCGUGUAUGAAGAAGGCCUUCGGGUUGUAAAGUACUGUCGGCGGGGAGGCGUUACCCACAGAAGAAGCAACGGCUAACUCCGUGCCAGCAGCCGCGGUAAUAC
rnacentral:rRNA from 1 species